GGAUUAGAUACCCUGGUAGUCCACGCCGUAAACGAUGUCUACUAGUUGUCGGUGGUCUUGUACUGCUGGUAACGCAGCUAACGCGAUAAGUAGACCGCCUGGGGAGUACGGCCGCAAGGUUAAAACUCAAAUGAAUUGACGGGGGCCCGCACAAGCGGUGGAGCAUGUGGUUUAAUUCGAAGCAACGCGAAGAACCUUACCUGGCCUUGACAUCCUGCGAACUUUCUAGAGAUAGAUUGGUGCCUUCGGGAGCGCAGAGACAGGUGCUGCAUGGCUGUCGUCCGUGUCGCUGUCU
rnacentral:rRNA from 1 species